rnacentral:rRNA from 1 species
UACCUGGUUGAUUCUGCCAGUAGUCAUAUGCUUGUCUCAAAGAUUAAGCCAUGCAUGUCUAAGUAUAAGCAAUUAUACCGCGAAACUGCGAAUGGCUCAUUAUAUAAGUUAUCGUUUAUUUGAUAGCACAUUACUACAUGGAUAACUGUGGUAAUUCUAGAGCUAAUACAUGCUAAAAAUCCCGACUUCGGAAGGGAUGUAUUUAUUAGAUUAAAAGCCAACGCCCUUCGGGGCUUCCUGGUGAUUCAUAAUAACUUUUCGAAUCGCAUGGCCUUGCGCCGGCGAUGGUUCAUUCAAAUUUCUUCCCUAUCAACUUUCGAUGCGAAGGUAUUGUCUUCGCAUGGUUGCAACGGGUAACGGAGGGUGAGGGCUCGA